UGGGGAAUAUUGGACAAUGGGCGCAAGCCUGAUCCAGCCAUGCCGCGUGAGUGAUGAAGGCCCUAGGGUUGUAAAGCUCUUUCACCGGUGAAGAUAAUGACGGUAACCGGAGAAGAAGCCCCGGCUAACUUCGUGCCAGCAGCCGCGGUAAUACGAAGGGGGGUAGCGUUGUUCGGAUUUACUGGGCGUAAAGCGCACGUAGGCGGACUUUUAAGUCAGGGGUGAAAUCCCGGGGCUCAACCCCGGAACUGCCUUUGAUACUGGAAGUCUUGAGUAUGGUAGAGGUGAGUGGAAUUCCGGGUGUAGAGGUGAAAUUAGUAGAUAUUCGGAGGAACACCAGUGGCGAAGGCGGCUCACUGGACUAUUACUGACGCUGAGGUGCGAAAGCGUGGGGAGCAAACAGG
rnacentral:rRNA from 1 species